AUGUGUACUACCGCGAGGGCGCGCUGCGAGCUGUGCGGCGCGGGAGCGGACGUGCGCUGCGAGGCCGACGCGGCGUUCCUCUGCGCGGCGUGCGACGCCGAGGUGCACGGCGCCAACUUCCUCGCGUUCCGCCACCGCCGCACGCGCGUCUCCUCACCUCCCGGCCCCGAGGACGCGCUGUCCCGGACGUCCACGGCCGAGUCCGCGACCAAGGGCCAGAGGAGCCGCGCGCGGGGCAACGCGGUGCUCGAGGGCUGGGCCAGGCGAAUGGGCCUCGAGGCGGUGGCGGCGCGACGACAUGCCACGGCGGCCGGCCGCACGCUCCGGGCCCAGGUCGCCGCGGGGCCGCCACGCGUGCCGCUGCGCGUCGCGAUGGCGGCCGUGCUGUGGUGGGAGGUGGCAGCUCACGGCGGCGUCCAGGAACCCGGCGACGCGCUCCGGCGCCUGGAGGCCUGCGCGCGCGUGCCGGCGAGGCUCCUCCUGGCGGUGGAGUCGUGCAUGGUGCGCGGCCGCGCCAAGAAGCGGACGGCCGCGGAGGGCUGGGGCGAGUGCUCACCACCCCACACACGAGACAAGACCAGACACAUCUUCUCCAAGACAUGA
rnacentral:rRNA from 1 species